GCCGGGAUGGCGAAACUGGCAGACGCACGGGACUUAAAAUCCCGCGGGCUUAGCCCAUGCGGGUUCGAUCCCCGCUCCCGGCACCA
rnacentral:tRNA from 1 species